rnacentral:rRNA from 1 species
UACGUAGGGAGCAAGCGUUGUUCGGAAUUACUGGGCGUAAAGAGUGUGUAGGCGGUUCUCCAAGUCUGGUGUGAAAUCCCCCGGCUUAACUGGGAGGGUGCAUUAGAAACUGGAAUGCUAGAGGAUGGGAGAGGUAAGCGGAAUUCCUGGUGUAGCGGUGAAAUGCGUAGAUAUCAGGAGGAACACCUGUGGUGUAGACAGCUUACUGGACCAUUUCUGACGCUGAGGAGCGAAAGCGUGGGGAGCGAACAGG